AGUCAUCAUGCAUUAUUUGCUGAAGUGUCCGCAAUGCAUAGAAAUUGGCUGACAAACUCAUGUGUUGUCAAACAUGCAGCCCAUUACUGACAAACUCAUUGUUUCACGUGCGCGUUUUCUGCUUCUUUUUUACAAUGGUCAAAGCUGUUAGAUGUCACAGCCUGAAACUGAAACCUAGAACAUGUUCUCCAAAACCAUUCAACCAUUUUACACGCUUUCUUUCAUCUUCAAUCUCAGGGCCAAAAAUUUUCACCGCCUCAGUCUCGCCGAUCAACUCUUCUACAAGGGCCAACUGUUGCCUCCCCACCUCCUUUGCUUAUUCCCAAACCUAGAAAUAUCAUAUCUGCAGCAUUUGCUUAAAAGUUUAGAUUUUUGUGCAUAGAUUUUGAUUUUGCAAUUUGGUUUUUACAGAACAGUGUGGCCGAGAAAAGAUGCCAUGAUAGUUCUUCACGACAAGCAGCAACAGGUAUGAAUCCCAGAACAGUGUGGCCGAAAAAAGUGAAGAAGGAGCCUUUUAAAACAGAUCAGAGCUACAACCGUGGGAGAUUCCGUUUCAGUGGGAAUGGAGUGGAUCCAUGUCGGUGGAAAGGUCUAUCAACCAUUUCGUUUAUGGGUGGAAAGAGUCAAUGUUGCCCUAAUGCUUUCAGGGAUGGGAUCAUCGAGUGAUGUUUUCAGAAUGGUUAGAAUUACUCACUGUCACAGUGUCACGGACUACAGUACAGGCUCAUUUAUUUGUUUAGGCAUCUUCUACAUGGUAGAUGGCAAGCAAGAAUUGCCUGUGUUGCUGGUAACAAAGACCUUUUCGUAAAGCACCUAUGCAAGUGAUACUGUGGUAGCAGUAGUGGUGCCCUGCAAAGACAGGGAUAAGAUGUGGCAGCUUUAACUUUUUGAAACUCAGUUGUUACAACACAUGUAUUCUGUAAUGACAGUUCUCUUUGGUGCUAACAAAGAGAAGCAAUUGAAGCCAGUAUAGUCAUUUUUGGCAUGGAGUCUUUAUCCAUAAGUGCUGAGGGAAAUCUUGACUUUUUUGCUUGCCUGAAGAACAACUCUUAUCAGCUUCAACAAAGUAUUAAAAUUGCUGAGCUAGACAAAUUUUCUCAAGGCCUGGUGUUGAAGAGAAAGAUUUGACCCUCACUUCAUGGUUUGGUCACGGAUAGACAGAGGUCACAAGGUCCAAGUCAGGUUAUGAUCAUGGAGGUUGCUGGGUUCUAUGUUCAGGAUAAGGUCAUUAGGUGUAAAGCUAUAUGCAGGCACAAAUCUAGCACUCUAAAGAAUAAUCGAAUUUGGAAAUAGGUUGUUUUUACACUUCAUCUUAUUAAAACCUUUUAUUUAAACUCUCUCUGAGCUUCAAAUUUGUAACUUCCCAAAUGCAUGUGAUGAUGUACUAGAAACUUAUUAAGUUACUAUGAUUGAGUCUUUUGCCACUUGCA